rnacentral:rRNA from 1 species
UACGAAGGGGGCUAGCGUUGCUCGGAAUUACUGGGCGUAAAGGGCGCGUAGGCGGAUGUUUAAGUCAGAGGUGAAAGCCCGGGGCUCAACCUUGGAACUGCCUUUGAUACUGGACAUCUUGAGUGUGGGAGAGGUGAGUGGAACUCCGAGUGUAGAGGUGAAAUUCGUAGAUAUUCGGAAGAACACCAGUGGCGAAGGCGACUCACUGGCCCAUUACUGACGCUGAGGCGCGAAAGCGUGGGGAGCAAACAGG